rnacentral:pre_miRNA from 1 species
AUCACCUAGAGAUCUUGUUAAAAGGCAGGUUCUGAUUCAGUACAUCCAGGGUAGAGCCUGAGAGUCUGUGUUUAUAACAAGCUCCCCGGUGUUGCUGG